UUUAUUUUAAUAUAAGUAUAGUCUUAAACUAUAGGGACAAAGUCUUGAUUCACUUCUAUCUGGAUUGGUAAUGACUAAUUCAAUAUAUGUAAUUGAAUACUUCAUUCAUUGCAGAAACAUACUAAUUUCUUUGUGGGAAUGGAUGCUGUUAACAUUGAGAACUGGAGUAUAACUAAGUUGUGGUACACUUCCUCAAUGCAAUUAUUUUUUGAGGAGUUACUUAAGGCGAAAUCACUUAUCUGAAUCUACCCCUGUCCCCGUCGUCUAAUAUUUCUUGGACAUGCUGCAUUUGUAUUCCCUCUCUGGUUCUUCAAUUACAUGAAUAGACGAGCUUCGGGGGCAUGUUCACUUUCAGAAAUGUCUGCACAAACUCAAUUUCGACUUAUCAUUAAAAACUGCUGCUACCGUACAACGCUUUGAAUCUAAAGCAAUUCCAUCAGAGGUUGAUAGUGCAAUCCUUAAGUCGAAUGCAUUGGCACCAAAAAGUUUCCAGUCCUCGGUUUUCACAAAAUCUUUCAGAAAAGGAAGUGUUCUCAAGGGUGGAAGUUGGAGUAGGGCUCCUGAAAUUGGGUUAAGUAGACACAUCUUGGAAUUUAGACCUCUUUCCUUGAUCAUGAUCAACCAACCUUUAGAAGACCCAAAAAUCCACCAUCCACGAACUUGCUUAGGUAGCUUCAACUUGACAACUCUCCCCUCUGACACGCUGGCAAAGCUUACGUACUUGUUGCUGCAAUGUGGGGUUUGAGGGAGUAGUAACCAUGGGAAUUCAUGAGAAGCACUGCGGAUGUCUCUACGCAUAACGAUUGACAUCCAAGACUUGCAGGCAAUGCUUAGCCUUAUUUGAUCACUUACUCUGACACGCGGCAGAACUUGCUCCAUGAUAUCAGGAGGCGGUGGCUGCCAAGAGCAGCCUAAGCUUGCUCGUAUUGCAUCGAGGAUUGAAGCAAGCGAAUAGAGACUCGAUCAUCAUCGAUCUCCUUUUCGGCAGAAAUCGAGCUACUAUGAACCCUACUUCUUUAGAAACGUUAUAAAGAAGUAAAACGGCGAUCGACCUGCUUUCAGUCUUGAC